UAGAAACAGAAUGCAUACUCAAAUGGAAUAAUAUAGAACAGACUAUGUACCAAGAUGUGAGCAGGAAUAAUGAGAAUCAGCUAGUGAUAAUGAAGCAUUCUGGGCAUAGCAACAGCAGAAGUUCCCACUUUGAGGCCUGAAGAAUUCAAUGACGCAGUGUUACAGGACUAGUAAGAGCUUUAGGUGUAGAAAAGGACCAAUGCUAAUAAUUUGAGGCUUUGAAAGAGGAACCUCCACCAACCUAAGAACUUGAAGGGAGAAAACUUAAGGAAAAAUUAUCUUAACAUCUCUUCUUUCAUCCUCUGAUCUCCAGCUGAUGACUCCCAAACGGCUGAAACAAAGUAGAGUUUCGAGAGCUGGUUUACAUGCAGUGUGAACACGCUGAGCCAGCACCUCGACAAGAUCACAGCAGAGCAGAGGGGUCAUGAAUAUAAAGAAGAGAUUGCAACUUCUUCUCCAAAACAUUGUACUUGGGUAAUAUUUAACUUGAACAAGCAAUUUCCAAGGGCCCAUCAUUAUCCAAAUCCUUUAUAUUUUUAACCUAUUGACUAUCCAUAG
rnacentral:lncRNA from 1 species